UACAGAGGUCCCAAGCGUUGUUCGGAUUCAUUGGGCGUAAAGCGCGUGUAGGCGGCUAGGUAGGUCCGUUGUGAAAACUCGAGGCUCAACCUCGAGACGUCGAUGGAAACCAUCUAGCUAGAGUCCGGAAGAGGAGAGUGGAAUUCCUGGUGUAGCGGUGAAAUGCGCAGAUAUCAGGAAGAACACCCGUGGCGAAGGCGGCUCUCUGGUACGUGACUGACGCUGAGACGCGAAAGCGUGGGGAGCGAACAGG
rnacentral:rRNA from 1 species